GUUGUGACAAGUGUUCGAACAAGUGAUGUCGACACUGAUGACUUCCCGAUUAAGAUAGGACUGCAUCAGGGGUCAGCUUUGAGCCCUUAUCUUUUUGCAUUGGUGAUGGAUGAGGUCACAAGGGAUAUACAAGGAGAUAUCCCAUGGUGUAUGCUCUUUGCGGAUGAUGUGGUGCUAGUUGACGAUAGUCGGGCGGGGGUAAAUAGGAAGUUAGAGUUAUGGAGACAAACCUUGGAAUCGAAAGGGUUUAGGCUUAGUAGGACUAAAACCGAGUACAUGAUGUGCGGUUUCAGUACUACUAGGUGUGAGGAGGAGGAGGUUAGCCUUGAUGGUCAGGUGGUACCUCGGAAGGACACCUUUCGGUAUUUGGGGUCAAUGCUGCAGGAGGAUGGGGGUAUUGAUGAAGAUGUGAACCAUCGGAUCAAAGCUGGAUGGAUGAAGUGGCGCCAAGCUUCUGGCAUUCUCUGUGACAAGAGAGUGCCACAAAAGCUAAAAGGCAAGUUCUACAGGACGGCGGUUCGACCCGCAAUGUUGUAUGGCGCUGAGUGUUGGCCGACUAAAAGGCGACAUGUUCAACAGUUAGGUGUGGCGGAGAUGCGUAUGUUGAGAUGGAUGUGUGGCCACACGAGGAAGGAUCGAGUCCGGAAUGAUGAUAUACGAGAUAGAGUUGGGGUAGCACCAAUUGAAGAGGAG
rnacentral:rRNA from 1 species